CGGAGGAUCCAAGCGUUAUCCGGAAUCAUUGGGUUUAAAGGGUCCGUAGGCGGGUUUAUAAGUCAGUGGUGAAAGCCCAUCGCUCAACGAUGGAACGGCCAUUGAUACUGUAGAUCUCGAAUUAUUAGGAAGUAACUAGAAUAUGUAGUGUAGCGGUGAAAUGCUUAGAGAUUACAUGGAAUACCAAUUGCGAAGGCAGGUUACUACUAAUGGAUUGACGCUGAUGGACGAAAGCGUGGGUAGCGAACAGGAUUAGAUACCCUGGUAGUCCACGCCGUAAACGAUGGAUACUAGCUGUUCGGAGCAAUCUGAGUGGCUAAGCGAAAGUGAUAAGUAUCCCACCUGGGGAGUACGUUCGCAAGAAUG
rnacentral:rRNA from 1 species